CUUUCUGAAGGCACUUCAGGUGUACAGGCUGAACAACACGUUAUAAGUCCUUCACAGCAGGACAGGUACAGGCUAAACAACACGUUAUAAGUCCUUCACAGCAGGACAGGUACAGGCUAAACAACACGUUAUAAGUCCUUCACAGCAGGACAGGUAGAGGUACAGGCUAAACAACACGUUAUAAGUCCUUCACAGCAGGACAGGUGGUGGAGGUACAGGCUAAACAACACGUUAUAAGUCCUUCACAGCAGGACAGGUAGAGGUACAGGCUAAACAACACGUUAUAAGUCCUUCACAGCAGGACAGGUACAGGCUAAACAACACGUUAUAAGUCCUUCACAGCAGGACAGGUAGAGGUACAGGCUAAACAACACGUUAUAAGUCCUUCACAGCAGGACAGGUAGAGGUACAGGCUGAACAACACGUUAUAAGUCCUUCACAGCAGGACAGGUAGAGGUACAGGCUAAACAACACGUUAUAAGUCCUUCACAGCAGGACAGGUAGAGGUACAGGCUAAACAACACGUUAUAAGUCCUUCACAGCAGGACAGGUACAGGCUGAACAACACGUUAUAAGUCCUUCACAGCAGGACAGGUAGAGGUACAGGCUAAACAACACGUUAUAAGUCCUUCACAGCAGGACAGGUACAGGCUAAACAACACGUUAUAAGUCCUUCACAGCAGGACAGGUAGAGGUACAGGCUAAACAACACGUUAUAAGUCCUUCACAGCAGGACAGGUACAGGCUAAACAACACGUUAUAAGUCCUUCACAGCAGGACAGGUAGAGGUACAGGCUAAACAACACGUUAUAAGUCCUUCACAGCAGGACAGGUAGAGGUACAGGCUAAACAACACGUUAUAAGUCCUUCACAGCAGGACAGGUAGAGGUACAGGCUAAACAACACGUUAUAAGUCCUUCACAGCAGGACAGGUAGAGGUACGGGCUAAACAACACGUUAUAAGUCCUUCACAGCAGGACAGGUGGAGGUACAGGCUAAACAACACGUUAUAAGUCCUUCACAGCAGGACAGGUACAGGCUAAACAACACGUUAUAAGUCCUUCACAGCAGGACAGGUAGAGGUACAGGCUAAACAACACGUUAUAAGUCCUUCACAGCAGUAGAGGUACAGGCUAAACAACACGUUAUAAGUCCUUCACAGCAGGACAGGUAGAGGUACAGGCUGAACAACACGUUAUAAGUCCUUCACAGCAGGACAGGUAGAGGUACAGGCUAAACAACACGUUAUAAGUCCUUCACAGCAGGACAGGUAGAGGUACAGGCUGAACAACACGUUAUAAGUCCUUCACAGCAGGACAGGUAGAGGUACAGGCUAAACAACACGUUAUAAGUCCUUCACAGCAGGACAGGUACAGGCUAAACAACACAUUAUAAGUCCUUCACAGCAGGACAGGUAGAGGUACAGGCUAAACAACAUGUUAUAAGUUCUUCACAGCAGGACAGGUACAGGCUAAACAACACGUUAUAAGUCCUUCACAGCAGGACAGGUAGAGGUACAGGCUAAACAACACGUUAUAAGUCCUUCACAGCAGGACAGGUAGAGGUACAGGCUAAACAACACGUUAUAAGUCCUUCACAGCAGGACAGGUGGAGGUACAGGCUAAACAACACGUUAUAAGUCCUUCACUGCAGGACAGGUAGAGGUACAGGCUAAACAACACGUUAUAAGUCCUUCACAGCAGGACAGGUACAGGCUAAACAACACGUUAUAAGUCCUUCACAGCAGGACAGGUAGAGGUACAGGCUAAACAACACGUUAUAAGUCCUUCACUGCAGGACAGGUAGAGGUACAGGCUAAACAACACGUUAUAAGUCCUUCACAGCAGGACAGGUACAGGCUAAACAACACGUUAUAAGUCCUUCACAGCAGGACAGGUAGAGGUACAGGCUAAACAACACGUUAUAAGUCCUUCACAGCAGGACAGGUAGAGGUACAGGCUAAACAACACGUUAUAAGUCCUUCACAGCAGGACAGGUAGAGGUACAGGCUAAACAACACGUUAUAAGUCCUUCACAGCAGGACAGGUAGAGGUACAGGCUAAACAACACGUUAUAAGUCCUUCACAGCAGGACAGGUAGAGGUACAGGCUAAACAACACGUUAUAAGUCCUUCACAGCAGGACAGGUAGAGGUACAGGCUAAACAACACGUUAUAAGUCCUUCACAGCAGGACAGGUAGAGGUACAGGCUAAACAACACGUUAUAAGUCCUUCACAGCAGGACAGGUAGAGGUACAGGCUA